CCUAGGGUGGAGCUGCAGUGGGGAAUAUUGGACAAUGGGCGAAAGCCUGAUCCAGCCAUGCCGCGUGUGUGAAGAAGGCCUUCGGGUUGUAAAGCACUUUCAGUGGGGAAGAAAGCCUUGGGGCUAAUACCCUCGAGGAAGGACAUCACCCACAGAAGAAGCACCGGCUAACUCCGUGCCAGCAGCCGCGGUAAUACGGAGGGUGCGAGCGUUAAUCGGAAUUACUGGGCGUAAAGCGCGCGUAGGCGGUCUGAUAAGCCGGUUGUGAAAGCCCCGGGCUCAACCUGGGAACGGCAUCCGGAACUGUCAGGCUAGAGUGCAGGAGAGGAAGGUAGAAUUCCCGGUGUAGCGGUGAAAUGCGUAGAGAUCGGGAGGAAUACCAGUGGCGAAGGCGGCCUUCUGGACUGACACUGACGCUGAGGUGCGAAAGCGUGGGUAGCAAACAGGAUUAGAUACCCCUGUAGUC
rnacentral:rRNA from 1 species